rnacentral:rRNA from 1 species
UACAGAGGUCCCAAGCGUUGUUCGGAUUCACUGGGCGUAAAGGGUGCGUAGGUGGUCGGGUAAGUCUGAUGUGAAAUCUCUGGGCUCAACCCAGAAAUGGCAUUGGAUACUAUUCGGCUAGAGGAGUGGAGGGGGGACUGGAAUACUUGGUGUAGCAGUGAAAUGCGUAGAUAUCGGGAAGAACACCCGUGGCGAAGGCGGCACGUGGGACGGUACUGGACGCUGAGACGCGAAAGCGUGGGGAGCGAACGAGG